UAAUAUAUACAGAAUUAAUAAUUCCAUCAUGGAUGUAAGAGUGAUCUUUGAACAUUCCGACUUUGGUUUAAAUCCCAGGUGUGCUGCAUCUUAAGUGACACCUUGGCCAUGUUACUUUUAACCUUUUUGAGCCUCAAUUUUUUCAUCUGUACAGUGAGUUUUUUGUAGAUAAAUUGUGAAUUUACAGUUUUUUAUGCAUAAUUAACCACCUAUACUUGAUAUCGAGUUAAUAAACCUUAUAGAAAAUUAGUGCUAUUGCUAUACAUUAAAAGUUCUCUCAUAAGUAUAGCGAACGAUUCAAAUUUAGUAACAAAUUUAUUUAAAUAACUUCAGAAUUACAACUUUUAGGAAAAUUAAAUUAACCUCUGUACUGGACUCUGCCCUCUAGGUGCUUAAUUUAUAUUGUUAUCCUACUAAAAUAAUAUUAAAAGGAAUUAACAUGGUCUUGGAUUAUUUCAAAAUACAAAAAAGGUAUAAGAAAGCUGUGUUCUCAGUUGAGUGUCUACAAUAUCAACAUACAUUUUUAUAAAGUCUUGCUUUUCUUAAUAGUCUUUAUAGGCUUGGAUUAACCUGAGUGAGGAGCACACAGUAAUUUUCCCAAGGUCUGUUCUUGUGACUGUUAGGAAUAAGGAGGCAGAGCUUUUCCUUGGCUUACCUAUCCCCAUAUCUUAUCUUCUCAAGGCUGUGCCUUUCUGCCUUCCAAGGCUACAACUGGCUGAUUGAACUGUUAUCCAUGUUGAUAUGUUAAAGGAUAAGAUUGAAGGCAGCUCCCAAGGUCUUUGUUGACUUACAGGGUAACAUACAGUUUAACAAUGACCUCCAGAAGAGGAGGACCUUGCUUUUGUUUUCUAACCAAAAUAUCCUAGGUAGCAAGAAUUUUAGCUCAUGUAAAAGGAAACCCUUGGGGAAUGUAUUUGGGGUGUGCAACUACUUUUGUUAGCCCUGAAUCAUAGCAGAAGCAGCCACUUCUGCUAGUCACAACAGGGUGAGCCUGAAGUUUCUAACCUGAUGAUAUCAAAGCAUUUAAUAUUGCUAGGAAGCAUCCAAACUCCUACAGAAAACUGGGGCUUUUGAUAACUGGAUCAAAAGGGAUGAAACUGGUGGUCCAACAGGUAGACAUACCUAGAUUUGGCACAUUAAAAGAAUGCUGUUUGCAGAAGUAACAUUCCUUUGAACAGUCAGCUUUCUGAAAUGGUGUCCCACCGCAAGGACUGGAGAAGGGUGAGUUUGAGCUCAAUGCUGAACUAACAGCCAGGCAAAUUACAUUCUGUCCUAAUGUCUAACAUAGAAGUAUGGUCAGUCAGGUCUCGAAAUAAAUCUUGAAGUAGACUUAAAAAUAAUGUUCCACCUCUUCUACUACUUGUGAAAUUUUUUGGUUUAUUUCUAGUUGAAUUUGGGCUUGUUGGAAAACUGUCUUGAGUAUUUGGGCGGCAAGUUCUCACCAUGAUUCCUAAGUGAAAGCAAUUUGCUGAAUAUGUCAAUAUAGCAAUGUUAGUGGUAUUGUUGGCAGAGGGAAAAUGAUUUUUUCUCUCAUCCUGGACUUGAGCAGGAGAUAAAGAUAAAUUCAAAAGUUUCAUUGGUAUUUUAGAAGUACUAUACUUGUCCCGAUUUGAGCAAGGUGGUCAGGCAUGGGUGAUUGAUGGCAAAGAGCCUGGGUUCCAGUCCCAGGUGGUGAUGGGAACUUGCAAAUGAUUGAUCUUCCCCAAGCCUCAGUAUUCUCAUCUGUAAGAUGGAGUAAGUACUUCAUUUAGUUGUUGAGGGGAUGGAA